GACUCCUUUGUUAGGCCAAAUUAGCCACUUUGGCUUCUUUCUCAACACAUGCUAGCAGUUAUGAAGCUCAUUCCUGAGGAUGGCCUGAGAUAACGACAUCAUAUGCACCGUAAUCCUACUUUCCUGGCUUGAGAAGGACGAAGUACUUGGGUUGGCUUGCUGGUAGACCGUACCAUCGUUACACAAAGACGCCUGAGCAAUACCGUGGCCUAUCACACAGAGGACUGCAGGAGAGCAGAGAAGGCUACGUGACUGCACACCAUGGAGCAAAUCUGGUAUGCACCGUACAAGGGGCUCCUGCAGAAGAGCAGCUCCUCAGUCCACCCUGAAAUGGAGGUCUUUACAUCCACUACCAGGAACGGCCACCUUGCAAUCACAAGAACAGGUUUUCCAUUGUCUGCUGAGAAUUCAGCAAAGAAAGCAGUCCAGCUGCCCUCACAAGCACGAGGGACUUGAUUUUGAUUCAACUUACACAGAAGCAGAUCAGAAAUAGCUCCACUGACGUCAAUGCCGCUGAAAUGAGUUGCAUUAGCCUUGGGUAUGAUGGGUGUGAGAUCAGAGACGGGUCCGAUGUGGUCUUAUUGCUUGCUUGCUUUAGUUUUUGGGAGGACAGUUCUGUUUGGAAGGCUGGUACUUGAAAGGCAUUUCUGAAAAUAUAUAUACUGAAUUUGUAACUGACACCCUGGCUUGGAGUCAAGGGAGCAAGAGGAAAAAAUGAAAAGAAAAAGAAAAAAAGAACAGUGAAGAAAUAAACAUUGCUGUGCAUAUGGGAUAAAAAUCUAAAGAAACCCAAAGAAAUUACUAUGUGUCUUAAAAGAGAAAAAGAAAAAUCA